UCUGGCGGCAGUAGCGCGGUGGUCCCACCUGACCCCAUGCCGAACUCAGAAGUGAAACGCCGUAGCGCCGAUGG
rnacentral:rRNA from 1 species